GAUGAACGCUGACAGAAUGCUUAACACAUGCAAGUCUUUGGCGAAGCUGUGCUUGCACAGCCUAGCCAAGGCGGACGGGUGAGUAACGCGUAAGGAACUUGCCCUGCAGUCAGGGAUAACAGACGGAAACGACUGAUAAGACCUGGUAAAGUCAGGCGGACUCAUGUCCAGCCUGAUGAAAAGAGAUGCUGCAGGAGAGCCUUGCGUCCUAUUAGCUUGUUGGUGGGGUAACGGCCCACCAAGGCGAUGAUAGGUAGCCGGCCUGAGUGGGUGGACGGCCACAAGGGGACUGAGAUACGGCCCUUACUCCUACGGGAGGCAGCAGUGGGGAAUAUUGGACAAUGGGGGCAACCCUGAUCCAGCAAUUCUGUGUGCACGAUGAAGGUUUUCGGAUUGUAAAGUGCUUUCAGCAGGGAAGAAAAAAAUGACGGUACCUGCAGAAGAAGCGACGGCUAAAUACGUG
rnacentral:rRNA from 1 species